AAGGGAAGAAGCAGGCGGUGAGGGCGGCGGAGAUCAUUGCAUCAGUUCAUGGGGUCGCUCGAAGAAGGCUUGGAGACCCUCAAUUAUCUGGACAACAUGCAGAACAGGAAAUGUUGUACUAGAGCAAGGGGAUGCUAUAACAUUUGAAUCGGAGAUGGACAAGAUAUAUCUUAGCACUCCUACAAAGAUUGCAAUUAUGGAUCAUGAGAAGAACAGAACAUUUGUAAUACGCAAAGAUGGUCUUCCAGAUGCCGUGGUGUGGAAUCCUUGGGAUAAGAAGGCAAAGGCUAUGGCUGAUUUGGAGAUGAUGAGUACAAACAUAUGCUCUCUGCAGAGGCUGCUGAUAUUGAGAGACCUAUCACAUUGAAAACUGAAGAGGAGUGGAGAGGGGGGCUGGAGCAAGGUGCGAAAGGAUUGCUUUUUGAACAUUUAUCCUUUGGUUUUACACUAUUCCUUAUCAAAAUGAUAACGUUUGGAAUUGGUUCCCUUGACACUAUUCUUUACCAUUUAUUUAUAUGUAAAUGAUAUAGAUUAUUUUGGACUGGUUUAG